AAAAGAACUUUGAAGAGAGAGUUCAAGAGUACGUGAAACCGUCUAGAGGUAAGCGGAUGGACCCGUCCAGUCGGCCCUCGGAAUUCAGCUUUCGGAAUCGCCCGCUGGCGCAGUUCUCGGGAUCCCUGGGACUCGCUCGGCGCUCAGACCGGGCUUUCGAGAGUGCACUUUCCGUGUUGGCAGAGCGUCACGACCGGUUUUGCGGCGGCGAUAAGGCCCGCGGGAAGGUAGGUCGUUGUUUGCCUUCGGGCGCUUCGACUGUUAUAGACCGCGGGAGAUGGCCGCUGCUGAGACCGUGGAUCGACCCGUCGUUUGGCAGUGGGGUUGCGCGCGCGCGUCAUUUUUCUCGACUCGGGAGGACCGGCUUGCCGUGCUUCCGGACCGCGAGCGUGCGUUAACUUUUCCCGCUAUAGCCUGCGACGCAGUUAGGGUCAGUGACACACGAUCGGUAAUCCACCCGGCCCGUCUUGAAACACGGACCAAGAAGUCCAACAUGUGCGCGAGUCAUUGGGUCCUACGAAACCUAAAGGCGCAAUGAAGGUGAAGGCGGGUUCGGCCCGUCGAGGUGAGAUCCCGGCCGUUAAAAAGUUGGGCGCAUCACCGGCCCGUCUGCAAAGGCGGAGCAAGAGCGCACACGUUGGGACCCGAAAGAUGGUGAACUAUGCCUGAGCAGGAUGAAGCCAGAGGAAACUCUGGUGGAAGUCCGUAGCGAUUCUGACGUGCAAAUCGAUCGUCGAACUUGGGUAUAGGGGCGAAAGACUAAUCGAACCAUC
rnacentral:rRNA from 1 species